GACGGAGGAUGCAAGCGUUAUCCGGAAUUAUUGGGCGUAAAGCGUCCGCAGGUGGCUGUUCAAGUCUGCUGUCAAAGCGCAGAGCUUAACUCUGUACAGGCGGUGGAAACUGAAGAGCUAGAGUAUGGUAGGGGUAGAGGGAAUUCCCGGUGUAGCGGUGAAAUGCGUAGAUACUGGGAGGAACACCAGUGGCGAAGGCGGGUCUCUGGGCAACAACUGACGCUGAGGAGCGAAAGCGUGGGGAGCGAACAGG
rnacentral:rRNA from 1 species